rnacentral:lncRNA from 1 species
CAUGAGGAUCUGUGCACGAGGAGUAGAGAGAGGGGUAUAGAAAUUAUACCUAUUAUAUGUUGGCCUCAAACUCCAUCAUCGAGAUGAGGCUUGCUUAUUGGAUGGGGGCUUACUUGUUUCGACCAGAGCCCCACUCUUCUUCUGCUUUUUCUUCUGACCUUUAUUUUUUGUCCGACACCAGUUAGAAGCACCUUCGUCCAUGUGCAUAUAUUUGUACGCGCAUUCUAAGAGUUUAGCAUAUGUCCGAGAGAGAGUUUUAUCCAGUGAGUACGUGAAUCGAUACCCCCUCAGAUCUCUUUUCAUGGUCGAUAUGGCCAUGUCUUCGUUGAGGUCUCUGACCUCAAGCAUGGCCGCAUUGAAUAGGACCACAAAUUCUCAGAGUGUUUCGGUCUCUCCUUGUUUGAUCAAAAAGAGACUAUUCGAGGUUCAUGGUGGCCUCCGACUG